rnacentral:rRNA from 1 species
GACGAACGCUGGCGGCGUGCUUAACACAUGCAGGUCGAACGGAAAGGCCCUGCUUUUGUGGGGUGCUCGAGUGGCGAACGGGUGAGUAACACGUGAGUAACCUGCCCUUGACUUUGGGAUAACUUCAGGAAACUGGGGCUAAUACCGGAUAGGAGCUCCUGCUGCAUGUUGGGGGUUGGAAAGUUUCGGCGGUUGGGGAUGGACUCGCGGCUUAUCAGCUUGUUGGUGGGGUAGUGGCUUACCAAGGCUUUGACGGGUAGCCGGCCUGAGAGGGUGACCGGCCACAUUGGGACUGAGAUACGGCCCAGACUCCUACGGGAGGCAGCAGUGGGGAAUAUUGCACAAUGGGCGGAAGCCUGAUGCAGCAACGCCGCGUGCGGGAUGACGGCCUUCGGGUUGUAAACCGCUUUCGCCUGUGACGAAGCGUGAGUGACGGUAAUGGGUAAAGAAGCACCGGCUAACUACGUG